UUAGACAGGAGUGUCUGCCUGGCUGAAGUUGAGGUCGCGUAUCUAAUCUGGACGAGAGGAGAGCGGGCAAUCAACUGGCCUUUGUGGGGCGCGUGUGACGACACAAGGGGCCUUUCUCAGAGUUACAGAAGACAGACAUUCAUGAGCUACAUGAAGGAGAGCAUAUCUGGCGUGCUGUGCCUUUCAGAUAUAGUACCAGGAAACACAGAUGGUCCCGAGACUGCUUGUGUGCCAAAUCGUGUGUUCAGGUGGCUUGACUGCUCUACUGCUAGAGACCAAGGGAGGACCGAAGAAAGGAUGCGUGGAUGUGUCCAGCCCAUCUCUGGCAGAGCCAAUGAGACAACGUUCUCCUUCAGUCAGGGUUUCUGUCUGUUCUGCUGCUUAUAAAUGGAGUCUCUUGGCUUGUCGGUGUGGAGCCUGACAGCUAUUGUCCCCAGAUAGUGGCCUGGUAACAAGAUGCCUAAUGUGAACUUUUGCAUAUAGGGACACCUGAAGGCAAGACCGUAAGAAGACAAAAUAAGGGGCUAGAGAGAUGGUUCAGUGGUGAAGAUCACUGGCUACUCUCCCAGAGGUCCUAAGUUCAAUUCCCAGGAACCACAUGUUGGCUCACAAGCAUCUGUAAUGGGAUCUGAUGUCCUCUUCUGUUGUGUAGACAUAUGUGUAAAUAGGGCACUCGUAUACAUAAAUAAAUACAUCUUUACAAAGAAGUCAAAAUAUGCAAGGACCCAUUGCUGUCUUAUCUAAAUUGCUUUAUUGUUCCUAGAAAGCAGUUACAAGUGCUUGAACAGAGACUACUUGUUUUUAGGUUAAUCUCAGAGUGAGUGUCCUGGCUGCCAGUCGCCAAAGCCCCACCCCUGCUACAUCUCUCCUGAUUUGCAUGGCCAGUCCAGAUAGAUGGAAAUGAAGGCAGGGCUUUCAUUUCUCCAGUUGCCAACAGCUUCGUGAAGGACAUUCUAAAGUGCUAGUGCUGUGUCUUUUCAAAAUUAGACCCGAAACACAAGGAUGUUCUUAGAAAACAGCUCAAUUUAGAAAGCCAUAAGAAAUGGCUGUUGGAAUAUUGCCUUUGGCUGGUCAUUUUUCAAAGAUUUCAAAGUCAUUCAUCAUAAGGCAGAUAUGAUAGCUCAUACCUGUAAUCUUGGCACUUGGAAGAUUGAGGCAAGAGGAUAGCCAGGAGUUCAAGGUCAGAUAGGUCUAAUAAUUUGGGGUCAACCUGGGCUAUAAAGUAAGCCACUGCCUCCAAACAAAACCAACAAACCAAGCUAAACACACACACACACAUACACACACACACACACACUCACACACACACACACACACACACUCGGAGAGAGACAGAGAUACAGAGAUACAGAGACUCACAAGUUUUUAUCAUGAUUAAGUAAUGGUGAUUUGUUUUGUGCGGUUUUUUUUUUAAGAUUUAUUUAUUUAUUACAUAUAACUACACUGUCACUGUCUUCAGACACACCAGAAGAGGGCAUCGGAUCCCAUUAGAUGAUUGUAAGCCACCAUGUGGUUGCUGGGAUUUGAACUCAGGACCUCUGGAAAAGCAGUCAGUGCUCUUAACCACUGAGCCACCUCUCCAGCCCUGUUUUGUGCGUUCUUUUGCAGAGUUUUUAGAGCUACCCAGGGUACACAUCCCAUGCAAAUCAGACAAUCUACCAUAGGCUAUACUCCCCUCCCAUAAUGCUUUUGCUUUAAUCUGUGGGGUAAUUUGGGAUGAAUCGUUACUAAGACAUAGUUAAAGAGAACCUAUUAUACCAAUAUUUUUAAGUCAGAGGACACAAGACGGUUGCAAAGGACCAUUUUUGCCUCUUCCACGAACUCCUACAGACGUUUCAGUGUCCUAAAAUUGUCUCAUUUAUGAUCUAGGAUGUCCCAUGGGAUAACCAUGGGUAGGAUUUCUGCUUGGAAGCUUCCCCAUUCUGGACACCUACCCCUGUCCCUAGUGUCAGUCUGUAUGACCAGACUUUUAUCUAAAGCUACUUCCUUCCUUGGCUCCUCCCCCGUCUCCUUGACUCCUCCCCCAUCUCCUUGACUCCUCCCCCAUCUCAUCCUUUCUCUCUCAUUACCAUGCAAGUUUUUCUUGAGUAACGGACAAACCUCUAUCUCAUACCUCUCUCUCUCUCUCUCUCUCUCUCUCUCUCUCUCUCUCUCUCUCUCUCUCUCCCCUCUCUCUGUGUUAAUAGCUACUUCGGGUGUUGUUUUGUUUUGUUGUGCCUUCCAGGUAAGCUCUGGGGAUCCAUUUGUCUUUAUUUCCCUAGCACUUACAUCACAGGUCCUUGCCACCACACUUGGUGUGUGGUCUUGAACUCAGGUCAAAAUGUUUCUAAGGCAAACACUAUCUCUCCAGGUGUCUCCCAGGUCCCCGAGGCUCAACAUCUUGAAUAACGUGUCCAAAGUCAGAUAAACAGUUCAUGACUAUUCUUGCAGUUCUCGAAAGGUAUUCCAGGUUAACUGUAUACGUCCUAAAAUACUACAGGGGAAAUGCCAAUGCCUUUCUCACUUCCUGUCCUUCAAUACUUGUGGGAUAAAACAGAAGUGCUCACUUUAGACAUGAUUGAUGGGUUUUGAAAGCUGAUUUCUAAAAAAGAAGGAAAAAAAACAAACCUAAUCUGAGCCACGUGACCUACCUUGUUCAUUUACAAAAACCAUCCACUCAGCCUCCCUGUAGCCAAACUGAGGGAGCCAGAUUUUUAAAACAGCAUUUUAGCUUUAGGAAACUUUGAGAAUUAGGGCAGGCAAACUGCAAGCAGCUGACUCUCAAAUAGAAGCCCCAGGAGGAUGUGGGGGAGCUGGUGGGCGGAGCAUGCGCGGCUUCAAAGGGCCAGGUCUGAAAAGUAACUUCUCCCUGGGAGCCCUGAACUCUGCUGCUAGCUUCAACCUCACCUCAGCCUGUUCUUGGCUAUUUUAUUUCAUUUUAUUUUACUUUACUUUUUUAUUUUAUUUUUAUGUUGACAUUGACCUAGCUCUUAGGGGAACCAUGUCCUAAGUUCAUUUCCCAACAAGAAAAAGUUGUACUCCACUAUGGCAACUAAUAAAGGCAUGGCCCUGUAACGAGAUAAGACUAUAUUUUUAAAGGGCCAGCUGUUAAAGGGGUGCGGGGGUGUCAUUUUAUUAGAAAUGCAUGAGCUAAGAGAGCUAAGCCAGGUACAAAAGGACAAAUCCUGGCCUUACUCAAGUGAAAAAUUUAAAUAAUCAAAGUCCUAGAAACAGAAUAUUGAUUGCCAAGGAGAGUAGCAGAGUGUUGCAUAAUACCAUACCCCACAGAAUUCUGUUUGGAGUGGAGACCAAGUUCUGGGAAUGGAUAAAGGUGGUGUUAGCACUGAAUGGCACUGGAGGGAACUUUUUUGUUGUUUUUAAGUUUGAAACUGGGCUGGAGAGAUGGCUCUGAAAUUAAAGAGUACCUGCUGUCCUUGGGGAACUUGAGUUUGAUUCCCUGCACCCACAAGGGAGAGCUUUCAGCCAGUAACUCCCUGGACAUCCAUACUUACAUACCCACACACAGAUACACACAUGCACACAUAUUUCACGGUAAAAAGAAAUCUUUUUAAAAGGUAAACAUAAAUAAACAAACGACUUCUUCAGUUUGGACCUUUGUUCUUUCCUUUGUCUAUUUGAGAAUCCCAAACCUGUCAGCCUGGCCAACGAGGUGACACUUUGUAUCGGAGCUUGGCUGCGUCUGUGUGCCUUGUAACGCAGACUGAGGUUUGCUGGGGCUCUAUAAUCACUGGUGGUGAAAUCAGGAAGAUGCGAAGUGGGCGUGUAUUGAAGUGCAGCUCAGUCAACCUUCUAGACCUUAAAUUAGAGUGAGGAGCAUAAACACGGCAGAGAGGGUUUUUUUCCCCCCUCAACUAAAUUGCAAUUAUAUUUUAAAUUACCUACAAUUACCAGAAACCAUCUCAAAGCUAGAAAUUAACUUCUUGUCCCAGCAGAUCAGCUGUUAAAUGGAGCACCUUGUGCCCUAAAACCUCCUGCUUCGGCUGCACCCGGGAGAGCAGAGGGGAGGCGGAGCCUGAGGUUGGCUGUCACGUGAAGGAACAGCUGCCUUCGGAGGGGCGGGGCCGUAUUUUUACAGCUUCCCAAAUUAACAAUUUCGUUCCAUUCAUUCAGUGCCAUUUUCCUGAAAUACAGUGCGUGUUUUCUUUUGGAGAACAAGUGAGUGUUUUCUUUCAGACGUCAGUGGAACAAUGUCUAUGUAACCAUUUUAGACAUCUAGUACUUAGGGCAUGGAGUUGGGACCAGGAGCCACUGAGACUAUCCCGGACUGGUGACCACUGGUGACCAUGAUCUUGAUAAAUGUUCUUAUCUUCCAAGCUUCGCGGUGAUUGUCAGACAUAACUGUUGAAACGUUGGGGUGGAGUUCUCUCUCAGCUUUAGACACCGGGCUGGUUUCUGCCAUUUUUGUCCAAGCUGCCAUGUAUUCUCUGAUUCUGUGAGGAGAUGCAGUGUUCUGGGUCAGCCUCUCCUACGCCGCCUGGACUUGAAGGCAACACCACAGAGCACAUUGCAAUGUUAACAUGUAUGCUUAAUACUUUGGGGAAAGGAUUGACUACUUGUAAACAUCGUGGCCUGCUGAUUCUCUGAAAACUCGUGCUAAGUCUUUUUUCCUUAAAUCCAUUUCUCUGGUCUGGAACCUACCUUUUGAAUGGCCUCUGAAAGGUUUUCUUUUCUUUUUUUUUGAAAAUAAACGGUCAUGAUAGUUUCCCUACAAUUCCUUAUCAUCUCGGCAUUGCCAACA